GUUUUUGUUAGCUUCUUUUCAAUGUUUGAAAAAUUAUUCUGCCCAUCUUCAUAAGACCUUUUUAUUUGGUCAAUUUGGUUUCUGCUCGUUGUUGUGUAUAUAUUAGGCUAUGUAAUAGAUUCGAAUAAAGUCGUCGAUUAAUUGAAUUAUCUUAUAACUCCAUGUUUUGUCAAUGCCACUCGAAAUUGCAUGUUCUAAUUAUUUGUUAUGUGUUAUAAUUUAUGCAAUCGACUAGUUAAGUAUAAUCAAUAAUCUGUUUGAAAAUUAGAAAAAAAUGGCAAUAGUCUGUUUUGUUUAAGUUCAAUAGUUUCUUUAUCCUAUUUCUUUCUGUUCCAGUGUUUUAAUUAGGGUGAACCUGUUGUUACCUAAAUUGAGAACUGAAUUGAUUGGUUUCAAUUCAUUUUUUGUUUCAG
rnacentral:lncRNA from 1 species